GACGAACGCUGGCGGCGUGCUUAACACAUGCAAGUCGAACGGAAAGGCCCUGCUUUUGUGGGGUGCUCGAGUGGCGAACGGGUGAGUAACACGUGAGUAACCUGCCCUUGACUUUGGGAUAACUUCAGGAAACUGGGGCUAAUACCGGAUAGGAGCUCCUGCUGCAUGGUGGGGGUUGGAAAGUUUCGGCGGUUGGGGAUGGACUCGCGGCUUAUCAGCUUGUUGGUGGGGUAGUGGCUUACCAAGGCUUUGACGGGUAGCCGGCCUGAGAGGGUGACCGGCCACAUUGGGACUGAGAGACGGCCCAGACUCCUACGGGCGGCAGCAGUGGGGAAUAUUGCACAAUGGGCGGGAGCCUGAUGCAGCAACGCCGCGUGCGGGAUGACGGCCUUCGGGUUAUAAACCGCUUUCGCCUGUGACGAAGCGUGAGUGACGGUAAUGAGUAAAGAAGCACCGGCUAACUACGUG
rnacentral:rRNA from 1 species